rnacentral:rRNA from 1 species
ACGGGAGGCAGCAGUGGGGAAUAUUGCACAAUGGGCGCAAGCCUGAUGCAGCAACGCCGCGUGGGGGAUGACGGCCUUCGGGUUGUAAACCUCUUUUAGUAGGGAAGAAGGGCUUCGGCUUGACGGUACCUGCAGAAAAAGGACCGGCUAACUACGUGCCAGCAGCCGCGGUAAUACGUAGGGUCCGAGCGUUGUCCGGAAUUAUUGGGCGUAAAGAGCUCGUAGGCGGUUUGUCGCGUCUGCUGUGAAAUCCCGAGGCUCAACCUCGGGUCUGCAGUGGGUACGGGCAGACUGGAGUGCGGUAGGGGAGAAUGGAAUUCCUGGUGUAGCGGUGGAAUGCGCAGAUAUCAGGAGGAACACCGAUGGCGAAGGCAGUUCUCUGGGCCGUAACUGACGCUGAGGAGCGAAAGCGUGGGGAGCGAACAGGAUUAGAUACCCUGGUA